UAUGCUACUUAUUCAUUCUAAACUGUCCAUCGCCACAAUCCAAAUUAGAAAAAAAAACCCUCCAUAAUACUAAGUUGUUUGGUUUCUUUUAAACAAUUCUCCUUUUCUUUGCUCCCUCUCUUCCUUCCCGCUGCAUCCUUUCUAGGAGUAUCUCUUUUACCUCUCAGGUUACAAUUCUUAUUCUGAUUCUAUAGACUUCUUCCUUUGUAUCUAAUUUUGCACUAGUAUUGCUCCUAGUAGUGAUAGGAUUGGCAGGAGUCAGGACUUCGGCGCCAGCUUUUGUUUUCUUCAGCACUCUUUUUGUCUGGGCUGUUUACGUAUCUGUGGUUCGCCGAGGUCCAAUUUUGAUUCUUCAACUUAAUUGCUGUAGCUCAAGUUGUUAAAACAAUGUGGUUGUAUUCUGACAGCAUAUGCUGGUUACAGCAUUAUGCUAUUGGUUCCUGGCUUUUUAACCCAUCAAUUCAGUCGACGAAAUCGAAUCCCUGGAAAAGGAAGUUGUUUUUGUAUAGGAGUUGAAAGUUUCAACUUCUGUUGCACAUCAAGAAUCUCCAGCUGAAGAGGUAUGAUGUUUCUUCUCUCUUAUCCUUAUCUAAAGAGAUAACUAUUAUGCCAUUAACCAUCUAAACUCCGCAAAUUUAGCAUGCAGUGUCAUCUAGACUCGGCUCUACUCACUUUUAGAUUGUUUGAGAGAGAGAAAGAGACCCUUAACUCUGGAUUUCUACUUUGUUCAUUCAAUUACAUUGCGUGCUUAUGCUUUUCUAGUAGUCUUCAGCAAUUCUCUAACUGAAGAAAAUGUCUUAAAAAGAAAUUAUAAUGCACAACACUAAACUGGAAAUUGUGUUAGAGAUUUUCUUCUAGAGUAGUCAAUAUCCCUAAACUACCGUAGUUGGUUACUGUUUUAUUAUAAAUGCAUUAUCAUCAACGAAAAGCAGUGAAUAAUUUAGCUUUACUCGAGGCAAGUUGUUUGGUUUGACAAGAGAGUUCGUAGGCCUUAGGUCAUUUAUUUCUUUGUUCUCUUUUGUUCAUGUAUAAAAUUUCAAAUUUCUUCCAUUGCCUUUCCCUUGAUCUUAACCAAUUUAUGGACAGACUUUUUUAAACAAUGGUUUAUAUUUGUACUAUUGCAUAAAUUUGGAAGAGAUCUUGGCUACCUUGCUUCAGGACAAGGCUUCAUCAAGCAGUGGAGAAACUUAGACACCGUGUUCCAUAUCACCAAGCUACUCAAAUCUCGGUUCAAAAAGAGCUCAUUUACUUGAACUAACACAGUUCUGCAUGAUUUUUGUCCUGCAUUUCUCUGAGUUCUAAACAAUAUGCUUUAAUCCAGCCAUUUACAACAUACAGGAGAGUAAGAAAUUGCAGGUACUGCAAGAAUUGUGUUAUGCGAUUCGACCAUCAUUGUCCAGCUUUUGAAAACUGUAUAGGUAAUUGCUUCGUUCUUCAUCAAUUAAUUUUUUUCCUUGAAGAUAAUAUUGUUUUUGAAGCGUUUAUAGUUAAACGAUUCAUAUCAUUAUUCAUUUUAUGCUCGCUAUGCGCAAGUCAACGAAAUCAUGCUCGUGCUCAUUAUUGGUUUUGUGAUAUUUGAGACUUCUUUUGUACUAUGUGCUUCUCUGUGUGAGUUCAAACCCAGUUACCUCAGUUUUACUUCUUAUGCAGAAUACUUAGUACUAUAAAUUUGAGAAAAGAAGAUACUAGGGUUUAGCAGAGCUAAUAACUUUAAUUAUAUUUGUGUCGGUAGUCAGGAAUUCAAGAUACUCCUUCACGUGAUUGAGGUUUGGAUAAUAGAAUAAUUUAGGUAUGCUCGAACUGAUGCAUUUUAAUUAAACACAUACACUGCUUUUUUCUUGCUGAGUUGUGAAACCUGGAAAGAAUUGUUUUGAAGAAUCUCAACUCUAUGCAAGUGUAUAGUUUUAAUCUUAUUUGUCCAUUUCCCUCCUCAUUUUCUUCUCAAACUAAUCUUAAGUUUUUUCUUUUAUCCUCUGGACUACAGUUACAGCCAAGUCUAUGUUGGAGGGAAUGUAAGUCAUAUAUCUCCAGCUCCUGACAGUUGAUGCACUUGUUAUCAUUAUAUUGUGUUUGCUGCGCUGGUUGGAUUGUUAGGAUAACUAGUUUCUAUUUUUUGCUAAAUGUUACCUUUUGUUGUCAAACAUGAUUUGGUUCUUCCAGCCUAUUACAUCCAGAAAUUUGGUUGUUGGUACAGUAUUAUUUUGCUUUAUUUAAGUGCUUUGGCAGGUAAUCCUCCCCUACUAGGUUGUGCUAGUACUGUUGUGAUAUUUAUUUUUCAAAUACAGUCAAAAUCUUUGUAUGAUAGCUCUUGUUUUCAUCUAACAGAUAAAUUCUUUAUUUCUUAGGUUGUUUUCAUAAUGUGGCAUGUCUAUUGCGCAUGUUUUAACAUCAAAACGGACGGAUGGAUAAAUUGGAAAAGGUAUCCAGAAUUUCCAGAGUAAAGUUAGACCCCAUGAUGCAAAUGGAUAGCUUCCUUGCAACCUGUGAUCAUCAUCAAAAGCUCUUAGCAUCUUUUUACGUAAAGCCUAGAGCUAAAUGAAAAGCUCGUCCGACUUGUUAUCUAGACCGAAGGAACGUAGGAUGCUCAUGCCCGAAUCUGACAAGGUUUGUUUGGUGAUGCAUCCAGCCAUCCACCAGAAAUCAAAUCCUACCUCCUCCACUCCUUAAAACUGGGGGGUCCGAUGUUUUUCACGGUUGAGCCCGGCGUUGUUGGAUGGACUCGAGGCCGACAGUCGGGUUCAAUCUGGACAACAAAGUCAGUUAUGGAUGGAAUCAAAGGUGUUAAAUGCUUCCAAACAACACACACUUUUGUAGCCCCCUUGAAUGAAUUGACAUUUAUUGAAUCUUCACCAAGUUUGUUUUUUUCCUAUUAUUUCCGGCACAGGUAAGCCCCAUUUGCAACAUGGCAAGCGUCAAUAUGUGUAACAGCUUGAUUUGCUUCUAGUGUUCCAAAUCGCAACAGCAGCAAGUUUUUAAGACAAGUGUAUUUGGAAGAUAUUUUUCUUCAAUAUUAUAGUAGUAGUUCAUAUCCUAAA